GGUAGAAGGAGUAGAGAAGAGAUUGCUGUGGCUGGGAGGGCCGGGGAAGGCCUCUAGGAAGAACAGGAAACCAAGAUGGCCCCUGAAGGGUGACUGGGAUUUCGAUAAGUUGGAGAGGAGCAGCAAGGAAAGUUGGGAUCAGGACCCACAUGAACUCGGCAUAAACACCAGCUCACAUGGGCUGCGGUGUGGGGGAGCCAGCUGAAGGACAUGGCAACAGGUUCUCUCCUAUGGGACGACCUUGGAAAUGAGAAGGGGAAGGCAUAUGAAAGGAAGAGUCAGAGGUGGUGGAUUCUUCUUAUUAAUUGUUCCAAAGAGGGGUUGAGACCGUGAAGAGCAGCACAUGGGGCUCCGGGAGGGCUGGGAGCCGGGAGAAAUAGAAAGCUGUGCUGCAGCUUGCUCUGGCAGGUGGGAAGGAUGCCAGGAAUGGGUGACAGUCAGCUGAGAUGCUCUCAAGGGAGCUGUGCCUGCCUCUGGUCAUCCCAGUCCCUCCCGGUCAGCACCUUUGCCAUUCUGCUUAAAUUCUGCUUUUAAGAAUAGCAAAAUUCUUAAAAGAAAAAAAAACCAACUAGAGGUGAAAUCAAGCUGCACUGCGAAUCUGACUGUUAAGAAUUUCAAAGACCCAGAGAAAAUGUUACUGUGUGCCUUUCUAGUGGUCACAGGCUGACCACCCUCCGUGAAUAUGGGAUUCUUCCUUGGCCUUAAAGAAGUGGAGAAGGGCAUCUUUUUCAUACACCUCAGGGGAAAAAUCACCAAACCCUCAAACAAAACAAAUCUUCCUCAUUUCUAUUAUCUUGAAACAUUAGCUUAUUACUUUCUGGCAUUCACACAAGUCACUGAAAACUAUUGCAGAAGACUGAAACUGUUUAAAGCCACUUUCAAUAAAAGUUCACUUAGCAAAACUUAAAUAUGACAGACAAUUCCUCAUGGCCCAUUCCAAGCACAUAGACGCUGUCCAGUGACAGGGGCCAGGGUAUUAAGUGGGAUUAAGGGUCUUAAUUACACUAAAGAUGUAAAAACGAUUCAUGGUUGGACAUUAAAUAGGAGGAUUGGAGUGACAUGGCACUCUCUCCAUCCCACGGGAAGAAUUCACUGGGGAGAUCGAGAAACUUACUGGAAUCUCUGGGCUUCUGAACUGGGGUGUCAGGUUAGUUAGUGCCAUGACUCUCAAAUCCUGAAGGCGCUUUUCACCAGGCACAGUGAGGCAGAGGCCACCCCAGCUUACCGCAGGAGUCACCACAGCCAAAGCCUGAUUAGUGGGAAUGCGAUUUAUCAGAAGUCCAAAGUCCAAACUACAUUUUUCCCAGCUCUGAAAUGACUAAGAGGCUGGUGCUACAAAAUAUUGUAUCUAAAGAAUACGAUGCAGCCACUCUUUCCAGCUCAGCCUUCCCUUCUGUAUGUCAGGGCACAAGUCCCUCCUGGUCUUGGGACUAACAGGGAAUAGGUGGAAGGACCAACCUCUGAACCUGUCUGUCGGCUUCCCACUCUUCCCUUCCGCUUCUCCCUCCAGAGAAGCCUGCCAUAAAACUGGGGAGAAGACACAUGGAUAAACCAAGAGCAAUGGAGAGAUGCAAUGAGGAGACGGUGAGCAGCAAGUUCUCAGCUGGUUGACUUCCAGGACUCACUGUUCUCUGCAUCACCUGAGAAAUUCCUGAGCAAGCUGGCGACCCAGGGCUCUGGCAUUUGGAAUGAGGGACUGGUGGAGGCCAGGGCAGCAGAGUUUACUGAGAUGACAGUACCUGAGGACAAGAUUAGAGGCAGAAACAGCGUGAUCCAAGAGCAUGUUCUCUUGAGGCAUUUCCCGCUUCAGGAACCCUGAGUUAUCCACGACAAGGGAAGAUGGGAUUUUCUAUAGAAGAA
rnacentral:lncRNA from 1 species